AUUGAACGCUGGCGGCAGGCCUAACACAUGCAAGUCGAGCGGAGCGGCGGACGGGUGAGUAAUGCCUAGGAAUCUGCCUGGUACUGGGGGAUAACGUCCGGAAACGGGCGCUAAUACCGCAUACUAUCAGAUGAGCCUAGGUCGGAUUAGCUAGUUGGGGGGUAAAAGGACUACCAAGGCGACGCUCCGUACCUGGUCUGGGAGGAUGAUCAGUCACACUGGAACUGAGACACGGUCCAGACUCAUACGGGAGGCAGCAGUGGGGAAUAUUGCACAAUGGGCGCAAGCCUGAUGCAGCCAUGCCGCGUGUGUGAAGAAGGCCUUCGGGUUGUAAAGCACUUUCAGCGGGGAGGCGUUACCCGCAGAAGAAGCACCGGCUAACUCCGUGCCAGCAGCCGCGGUAAUU
rnacentral:rRNA from 1 species